rnacentral:rRNA from 1 species
CAGAGAGAAGCAAAACAAGUGAUGUGGAGCAAAACUCAAAAAGCGGUCUCAGUUCGGACUGAAGGCUGAAAUUCGCCUUCACGAAGUCGGAAUUGCUAGUAAUGGCAGGUCAGCAUACUGCCGUGAAUACGUUCCCGGGCCUUGUACACACCGCCCGUCACACCAUGAGAGUUAGGAAUACCCGAAGCCUGUGAGCUAACUUUUAGAGGCAGCAGUCGAAGGUAGAACUAAUGGUUGGGGUGAAGUCGUAACAAGGUAAC